rnacentral:lncRNA from 1 species
UAAUCUGGCUAAGUUAGCAUUUGAAGUCUGCAAAGCUGGACUUAAAGAGUUCAAAUUGGAGCUGGAAUUGCUCUAAGCAAUUCCAGGGCCUUGCAAUUUUACAAUUAAGGAAGACUUAAAUAUAUACAUAGUCAGGGUGGCAAGGUAAAAGGAGGUCUGAUUUCCUCUGCGAUGUUCUUCAGCUAAGACCUAAAUUCUGAAACCGUUAAAACCUGAAGUGCCUUUAAAUAUAUUAUUUCAUCAGAGCCCCAGGUUCAUUGUGUCACUUAUCAAGGUCUGAUUUAGGGUCCUCAAGGACUAAUCUUGUUAGUGUUUAAAAGCAACUAGGUUUUGUUUUUGGCAUUUUAGUUCCAUCUUCUAGAUUCUGUUGUCUUGCAGAUAGAGAUCAGGGAGCCCAGCUACACAUUCAUUCUUCUAGUCCCUUGUACUCAUUGUAUUUCCUUCUGCCUUAGGGCCUUAGUUUGUGCUGUUCCCUGUACCAGGAACUCUCUUUGCUGUUUCUCGGUUUCUUGCUCAAAUGUCACUUCAAGGAAGGCUUUCCUGACUGACUUCUUAUUUUUUAAGUUGUUACAACAUUGUGUACCUUUGUUUUAUAGCACUUACAUUUAUUUCUAUGAAUAUUUCCUUAAUGCCUAUAUUCCUUCCUAAAUCGUAAGCUGCACGAGAGCAGGAUCAUUUGUGUCUGCCUUACUAACCUUUUCAUCUUGAGUGCCUGGCACAGUGCUUGGUACCUGGAUUGAUACUUAAUAAAUAUUUGCUAAGCAAAUGUAGUGUAACCUCAAAUCCAUGGGCUAAGUCAAGCUCUAGGCAAUUCCAGGGACUUUUGAAGUGAUUUUGAUUUUUGCCCACCCUUGUAAUCAGGAAAAUAAUUUAUCCUUUGUGGCUGCCGUGUCUGGUUUAUUUGAACUGGACUUUCUCAACAUUUAAACUAGGUUACUCUGAGUGUUUUGUUUUCUCAGGCUUUUGUGUCACCUGAAGAAAUAGUGUGAAGGUGCUUUGUAUUCUUCACAGAUGGCAAUCUUGGCAAUGUUUGCCUGUUUUAAAGUCUAGAUGUUUGUAGUUUUUCUGGUAACAACUAUUUUGUGUGUUAUUUACAGGAAGUGAAUAUUGAAUUUGAAGCUUAUUCCCUAUCAGAUAAUGAUUAUGACGGAAUUAAGAAAUUACUGCAGCAGCUUUUUCUAAAGGCUCCUGUGAACACUGCAGAACUAACAGAUCUCUUAAUUCAACAGAACCAUAUUGGGAGUGUGAUUAAGCAAACGGAUGUUUCAGAAGACAGCAAUGAUGAUAUGGAUGAAGAUGAGGUUUUUGGUUUCAUAAGCCUUUUAAAUUUAACUGAAAGAAAGGGUACCCAGUGUGUUGAACAAAUUCAAGAGUUGGUUCUACGCUUCUGUGAGAAGAACUGUGAAAAGAGCAUGGUUGAACAGCUGGACAAGUUUUUAAAUGACACCACCAAGCCUGUGG